AUAUCAGUCAUGCAUAGCAUAUCAAUAAGCGGAGGAAAAGAAACUAACAAGGAUUCCCUUAGUAACGGCGAGUGAAGCGGGAAGAGCUCAAAUUUGAAAUCUUCAAGGUUCUACCUUGACGAAUUGUAGUUUAUAGAAGUGUUUUCUGUUAGUAGAGUGGCAAAAGUUCUUUGGAAUAGGACAUCAUAGAGGGUGAGAAUCCCGUAUUUGGUCAUUCUUUCUAGCUUUGUGAUACACUUUCAACGAGUCGGAUUGUUUGGGAAUGCAGUCCAAAAUGGGUGGUAAAUUUCAUCUAAAGCUAAAUAUUGGCGAGAGACCGAUAGCGAACAAGUACCGUGAGGGAAAGAUGAAAAGAACUUUGAAAAGAGAGUUAAACAGUACGUGAAAUUGUCAAAAGGGAAGCGUUUGACACCAGUGUUGUUUUUCCGAAAAUCAAUUACGAAUGUUUUAUUUUUGAGGAGUUAUGACUUCAUCGGCUUGCUUCUCUCUUUAUGAAACUUUCUUAAUGCACUUUUCGGUUAACAAGUCAACAUCAAUUUCUUUUGUUGUAAAAGGGUAUGAGGAAGGUGGCUUUCUUUUCGGAGAAAGUGUUUAUAGCCUUGUAGCCUCUGCAAUCGGAGAGAUUGAGGUCUGCAGCGUAGAUCCUUCGGGGUUAGAUACAGUUUGUGCUAAGUUAUAGCUUUUCAUAGACAACUUGUUGACUAUGUUUAGUCUUGUAGCUUACUCGCUGAUGCUAUUUUACCUACGCUUAGGAUGUUGAUGUGAUACUGCGAGCA
rnacentral:rRNA from 1 species